GAGAGGAGGAAAGAGAAAUAAUAUUUUUUUUAUUCAGCUGGGUAUUUUUUUAAGAUAAAAUAAUGGUUUGGAGUCGCUAUAGUGUUUUCUAAAUUAAGAGAAAUACUGUAGCAACUUAAAAAAAAAAUUUGGAGAAUCUGUGACUUUAGAUAAGCUGCUGGAGUGUGAACAGUAGCAUUUGGUGCUCCAAAAAUAGAGAUACAAACUCUGUUGGAGAUGCACUUAACUCGUCUCUUUCUAGGAUUCAUUUCUAAAUUUCCUGAACAAUACAAACAAAAACCGAAAAAACUUCAAAACAUCUCUCACCUAUUUAACCUUGAAUCUAUGGAUUACAUUACAUUACAAACCUAGAAAGGAAAUUCAAAAAAUCGCACUUUAAAAAGCUGAGAUAAUUGUCCGAUUUCAAGUCCUUUUGGAUGGUAUUGACAAUCAAGAUGAUGAGAUCGUGAUUGUCGUUCAAGUAACCAGUGCGCUUGAGAAGCAAGGUAUCGUCGUGGGUCCUCUUCACGGUGUGGAUGUACCCAAACGGCGCGUCGUGGCCGAGCAUUUCGAUGUAGACGAAUCAGAUUAUGAACUCCUUCAUCUUCCUCUUCGGAAUGUCCGGCUCCAAAAUCCGACGCUUCGGGGUCUCGAUCUCGUGGAGCACAAUUCGAUCCUCCUCGGCUUUCGAUCGAGCCUCGCCGAUCGAUUUCACGAGCUCCAAGAACUCCUUCGAUUGGAAGAGGUGGUUGUAUCAUUUGAAGAUAUAGAUGAGAUAUGAAGGAGUUAGCAUGCAUUCAUUAAUCUUGCUAUUACAAUUAUACUUCGCAUGGGUGUUGGUGGACAUGGUGUACCUCCUUUGGGAAGUCCUGAUGGUCUACUUGCUUCUUUUGUAACUUGGAUCAGCCAAAUGCCACAGUUUGUUCUAGAGUCGGAAAUCCCAAAGGUAUUGACACAAAAUCCAAUCUUUAUCUCCUUUUUACAAGAAUGCUUGAUUUUUUUUUUUUUUUAAUAAAAAUUUUAUUUACCACUUUAUUGGCAUACGCUUUCAAAACUCCAAAAAUUGUGUAAAGAAAAACUAUACUGGUUUUAUAGUGAGAAAAAGUGAUAAGAAUAAUUGCAUGCACUUUUUUUUAUUUUUUUUUUCUUGUCUGUUUGAAUCUUAUCUUAAUUCUUAUCAUUGGUUUGUGAGUAGUGAUAAGAAUAUAAUGUUAGUUUGGAGACAUUUGUGGUAAUUUCUUAGUGGAGCUAAAAUUAUUAUAGGUUAUUUGUAAUAGAAAUGUGGUUUUAGGACCCAAGAGGGAAAAAAAAAAAAAAAAAAAACCUAUAGCGGCGGGGAAAAACCGCCAUUGAAGGACUAAAAUUAUGAAAUAAUUGAAAAACUAUAGUGGCGUUUAUCGCCUGUCGCUAUAUGUUUGAAGCUUUAGCGGCGGGCGAAACUGCCGCUAAAAGGUGUAUAGGGUAUGUUGUACAUGAAGCCCUAUAGUGGCACUUAUUAAUCGCUGCUAUAGGUGACAACCUAUAGCGGCGGGCCUAUCUUGCUGUGAAAAGGUCCCUUGACUUGAAUGGCAACCUUAUAUGGCGGGGGUUUUUAGCCCACCGCAAUAGACUAAAAGCGUUGCUAAAUGGCAGAUCUAUUGCAGCGCUUUUCGCGACCGCCGCAAUUGACCUAUAGCAGCACUGCAACACUGACGGGAUGGCUUGCCGCAAUAGCACCCGUCGUUAUAGGUCAAAUGUACCUUUAGCGGCGCUUUUUUGGGCUUUAGCGGCGCUUCUGGCCUGUCGCAAUAGCCCGUUUUUCUUGUAGUGCAUGUGGCUUGAAUUGCACCAAAAGACCAUAAGGCUUUUGAAAGUUAGUGGGCUUCCCAAAUCAGUAGUAUUAGAAAGAUUAUUCUGAUCACUCUUUUGUUGGUUUUGCUAGAUACAACCCAUUAGUUAGAAAAAUAAGAAAUUGUCAUGUGUUUUGUGAGAGAGAGCCUCUUACAUAUGUGCCCCUAGUGUGAUCUCUCUCUGUGUUAGAAGCUUCGCUAGAAGCAAGUAAGACAAGGUCGCUAUGCUUUGUAGACAAGGCUCAUAAUAACACUAAAGAUCACAAGCACCAAGUAUGAAGGUGGAGAAAUUUGGUGGUAAUGAAAAUUCUUGUCUUUGGUAAAGGUUGAUGUAGGAUCUAUUAAUCCAAUUAGGAGUUUAUAAAGCAUUGCAAGGGAAAGUAAGGACUAAGGAAGCCCGAAAAGUUAAGGGAUGAAGAAUGAGAAGUCAACCAGUGCAAUUCCUCUCAAACCUAGUUGAUGAGGUCAUUCACAACAUCCUAAAAAUACAAACAGUAGAACAUAUUUAGAAUAAAUUAAAAUGUCUCUAUAUGAGAAUAUCUAAGAAACAAAUUUUACAUGGAUAAGAGCUUCAUGGCUUUUAGAUGAACGAAGGUUUAGAUAUAUUGGAGCAUCUUAACAUGUUGAACACUCAAUUGUCACAUUUUAGGGUGUAAAGUUUAAGGAGUAAGAUAAACAAUACUUCUAUUGGCAUUGCUCCUACAUCCUUUAAUCAUCUGGUGACUACUUUGAUGUAUGGGAAUGAGACUUUAGAACUCAAAGAGAUGGCUGGUGUAAUCCUAUCGCGCAUGAAGGUAAAGAAGGAUGGUGAUGAUUCUCAAGUUGAUGGAUAUGUUUCAAAGACAAAGUUGGACAAUGGUAGUAGAAGCAUGUCAAAACAAAGGAAAUCCAAUAGGAAGAGAUCUCAAUCUA